rnacentral:rRNA from 1 species
UAGGGAAUCUUCGGCAAUGGACGAAAGUCUGACCGAGCAACGCCGCGUGAGUGAAGAAGGUUUUCGGAUCGUAAAACUCUGUUGUUAGAGAAGAACGUUGCAUAGAGUGGAAAAUUAUGCAAGUGACGGUAUCUAACCAGAAAGGGACGGCUAACUACGUGCCAGCAGCCGCGGUAAUACGUAGGUCCCGAGCGUUGUCCGGAUUUAUUGGGCGUAAAGCGAGCGCAGGUGGUUUAAUAAGUCUGAUGUAAAAAGGCAGUGGCUCAACCAUUGUGUGCAUUGGAAACUGUUAGACUUGAGUGCAGUAGAGGAGAGUGGAAUUCCAUGUGUAGCGGUGAAAUGCGUAGAUAUAUGGAGGAACACCGGUGGCGAAAAGCGGCUCUCUGGACUGUCACUGACACUGAGGCUCGAAAGCGUGGGUAGCAAACAGGAUUAGAUAGCCCUGG